AACGCGAAGAACCUUACCUGGGCUCGAAAUGCUGUGGACCAGCCUGUGAAAGCAGGCCUUCCCGCAAGGGACCGCAGUAUAGGUGCUGCAUGGCUGUCGUCAGCUCGUGUCGUGAGAUGUUGGGUUAAGUCCCGCAACGAGCGCAACCCUUGUCCUGUGUUGCCAUACCGAAAGGUGGAACUCGCAGGAGACCGCCAGGGAUAACCUGGAGGAAGGUGGGGAUGACGUCAAGUCCUCAUGGCCUUUAUGUCCAGGGCUACACACGUGCUACAAUGGACGGUACAAAGGGCUGCCAACCCGCGAGGGGGAGCCAAUCCCAAAAAACCGUUCUCAGUUCGGAUUGCAGGCUGCAACUCGCCUGCAUGAAGCUGGAAUCGCUAGUAAUGGCGGAUCAGAACGCCGCCGUGAAUACGUUCCCGGGCCUUGUA
rnacentral:rRNA from 1 species